rnacentral:rRNA from 1 species
CCCGCUGAACUUAAGCAUAUCAGUAAGCGGAGGAAAAGAAACUAACAAGGAUUCCCUGAGUAACGGCGAGUGAAACGGGAAAAGCUCAAAUUUAAAAUCUGGUGCCCUUGAAUGGGUGUCCGAAUUGUGAUUGAGAGGGUCUUCUUUUGAUGCGGUACCGACAUGGCCAAAGUUCUCUGGAAAGGGACAACAAAGAGGGUGACAUUCCCGUCUGGGUCAUGGGUGCUCGUCAGUAUAAAGGAGGCUCUAAGAGUCGGAUUGUUUGGGAAUGCAGUCCAAAAUGGGUGGUACAUUUCAUCUAAAGCUAAAUAUAGGCAAGAGACCGAUAGCGAACAAGUACCGUGAGGGAAAGAUGAAAAGAACUUUGAAAAGAGAGUUAAAUAGUACGUGAAAUUGUUGAAAGGGAAGCGCUUGCAACCAGACUUGCACGUAGUUAAUCAUCCGGGGUUCUCCCCGGUGCACUUGGCUACGUUCAGGCCAGCAUCGGUUUCGGUGGUUGGAUAAAGGCCUAGGGAAUGUGGCUCUCUUCGGGGAGUGUUAUAGCCCUAGGUGCAAUGCAGCCCACUGGGACCGAGGACCGCGCUUCGGCUAGGAUGCUGGCGUAAUGGUUGUAAGCGACCCGUCUUGAAACACGG